AAAAUAGUGAAUUAAUACAAUUUUAAAGUUUAUUUAAUCGGUGUGACAUAAUUUGCCGUGAGAUUCACAUCUGUAUCUACCUCAUCUGUGGCAACAGUGAAAUUUGAAAAUAUGAAGAGAUUUUGGAUCCAGUUUUGAAUAAAGAUUUCGGCAAAUUUCGAAGGGAAACCGUCUUAAAAUGGAUCAUAUUUGCUCUGCAAAUUAUACCCUGAUAAAGAACUGUAUAAACAAUCCUUUUGGCGAGGGUUGAGCGUGUGUGUUGUGUACUGAUGGAGCAACAAAACAAUCGCAAGAAAUCGACUAGGAUAAAAAUUGUCAGCAUGGGCGAUGCUGAAGUUGGCAAGGUAUUGAAAUGAUUAUUGAAUGCUGUGUUUUGUCGAAGUUCUUAGUGUGUUUUUUUUGUUGUGAUAGUGUUGAAUAUUUUGAUGUUUUAGAGCUGCAUUAUCAAACGAUAUUGUGAAAAGAGAUUUGUCAACAAGUACCUAGCAACCAUUGGCAUUGAUUAUGGGGUAACCAAGUAAGGAUCUGUGAAUUGUGAAAGCAUUUUAAGG